rnacentral:lncRNA from 1 species
CCCGCCUCGGCCUCCCAAAGUGCUGGGAUUACAGGCAUGAGCCACCGUGCCCAGCCCCAGUUCCAUCUUUGAUAGGAGAUAGAAAAAAAGAUUGAGCAGGAUGGAUGAAGAGGACACUGUUUUUCAAAACUGAUAAACCAGAACUUUUCAAAUGAGUAAACAUCAGGUAAACAUGGAAAGAGACAGUCUGGACAGGCUGAGGGGAUGGCACUGAAGACCCUGCAGUUUUCCAACUGGCUAAUCAGACCCCUGGGAAGAAGGAAUGCUUUUCGGGGUACCUGGCCCAGCAAGCAGAGGGUCCUCAAGGAUUUUUGUCUGUCUUGGUUGUCUGUCGUAUCUCGUGUCUAGAACACAGAACUCACAGUAAGUAGGCACUUCAAUCAAUUACCUGUAGAAUGAACGGACUGAAUGUCACCUUGUUAGAGUACCCUCCUGACCACACUCUGCUAAGCAGUAAUCUUUUAUUUCUCUUUCCCAGUUUUAUUUUUCCUCAUUUACACUUAAUCACCUUGUGACACCUAUUUGUUUACUGUUUCCCCAGUAGAGUGAAAGUCACUUUAACAGCAGAGAUUUAAAUGUAUUUUAAUCCCUACAAAGGAGAAAAAGGGAGGAAAUACGUGACAGGCUCUCAAUAAGUAUUUGCGAAGGAUUUAAUCUCUUGAACGAAUGGAUGAAUGAAUCUAGCAGCCAGC